ensembl:lncRNA
AAAAAAUAUAUAUAUAUAUAUAAAAAAAAAAUUUUUUUAUUCUUUACUGUCACUUUUGAUCAAGUAAAUUGCUCCUUGCUGAAUAGAUUUAUUCAUUUCUUAAUACUUAAUGAAUAAAAAACCCUAUUGACUUUUAAACAGUUAUUCAUUAAAGAAUCCUGAAAAAAUAUUUCCACAAAAAUAGCAGAACUGUUUUCAACACUGAUUAUAUAUUUCUUUACGCACCAAAUCGGCAUAUGAGAAUGAUUUCUUAAGAAUGUGACAGACUUGUGAAAGACUGGAGUAGUAACUGCUGUAAUUCAGUUUUGCCAUCGCAGGAAUAAAUUACUUUUUAAAAUACAUUAAAAUAGAAAACUGAUAUUUUAAAUAAUAAUUGCAGUAAUAAUAUUUUAGAUAAUAAUAUUUGACGAUAUUACUGUAUUUUUGAUCAAAUAAAUGCAGCCUUGGUGAGCAUAAGAGACUGGAUGAUUUAAAAAUCAUUAAAAUUCUAAUAUAUAUAAAAUACCACAGAACAAUAAAUGGUAAAAAAAAAAAUGUGUUGGGUGACAUCUGGUAAACUCUGUACCUCAUUUUUGUCAGACUACAGAAAAUAUGCUCCUGUUAACCCAUUACCUUAUGGGUUGUGAAAUAAAAAACAAAAUCUUCUUAUAAAUAACAUUCAACUUUUCCAAAUAUAUCCAUAAUCCCACCAUAGCACAGUCUGCAGUUUAAAAUAAUUGUUUGUUUGCUGUUGUUGUUGUAGGGGUGCAUUCUCAACAAGAGGACAAAGGGGUGGAAGACCAUUUGUAUUAGACAGAGGGUUUGCCGCUACAAAAAGAGCUGAGAAACUACAAAAGUAUCAGACAAUAAGAAGUCGAAGAACAGCACCAUCUGGCUCCAUGCUGACAGUUUCCCUGCCAAAUGCUAAAUCUGCACCUGUCGCUGUGAAGACGUCUAAUCAGACUAGGAGGGGUGGGGCAGUGUUAAGAGGCAGAUCAUCUAGAGGAGCCAGUACUUCUUCACUUCAGGGGAUUCAUCUGCAAUUUAACUACAAAGCAACUACUAACCAGACUGCCGUAUACCUUAAUGACCGUUUCACUGACCUGAGGUUAAGAGGGCAAGGACGAGGCCGGGGAAGAGGAAGAGGAGCUGUUGGAGAAGGUGGAAGAGGUGGAGGAAGAGGAAACAUUGUUGGGGGUGGACAAGGUAGAGGACAAGGAAACAUAGGUGGUGUAAGAGGCAGAGGAAGAGGAAACUUUAUGAGGGGUGGCAGAGACAGAGGCAGAGGAAGAGGAAACUUUAUGGGGGGUGGCAGAGACAGAGGCAGAGGAAACAUUAUGGGGGGUGGCAGAGGAAGAGGAGGGGUUGGUGUGACAAGAGGAGGAAGAGGCUUGAGAAGAGGGAGGGGAGGAUCAAGAGGAGCCGAUCGAACAGUAACUCUUCAGUGAUUAGAAUUACAUCCAUUCAAUUUUAUGAAGUAAUAGUAUUUACUGAAAAAUUCAUUUUUGGUAAAAAAAAAAAAAUAAUUUUGGUGCAUCACUGUUUACUGUAAUAAUGUCGUUCAACUUAAUAUCUGUAACAUUUCUGACAGCGGGAUAAGGGGUUUUUAUUGCUGUGUACAAACAAAAAAAAAUGUCCUUUUUAAAAGCAAAUGUAAAUUAUUGAUUGUUAUAUGAUGAAGGUUUUUACAUUUUUAGGUUAUGAAAAAAUAAAAUGUUAAAAAGUACCUCA